rnacentral:rRNA from 1 species
CGGCCGUAACUAUAACGGUCCUAAGGUAGCGAAAUUCCUUGUCGGGUAAGUUCCGACCUGCACGAAUGGCGUAAUGAUGGCCAGGCUGUCUCCACCCGAGACUCAGUGAAAUUGAACUCGCUGUGAAGAUGCAGUGUACCCGCGGCAAGACGGAAAGACCCCGUGAACCUUUACUAUAGCUUGACACUGAACAUUGAGCCUUGAUGUGUAGGAUAGGUGGGAGGCUUUGAAGUGUGGACGCCAGUCUGCAUGGAGCCGACCUUGAAAUACCACCCUUUAAUGUUUGAUGUUCUAACGUGGGCCCGUAAUCCGGGUUGCGGACAGUGUCUGGUGGGUAGUUUGACUGGGGCGGUCUCCUCCUAAAGAGUAACGGAGGAGCACGAAGGUUGGCUAAUCCUGGUCGGACAUCAGGAGGUUAGUGCAAUGGCAUAAGCCAGCUUGACUGCGAGCGUGACGGCGCGAGCAGGUGCGAAAGCAGGUCAUAGUGAUCCGGUGGUUCUGAAUGGAAGGGCCAUCGCUCAACGGAUAAAAGGUACUCCGGGGAUAACAGGCUGAUACCGCCCAAGAGUUCAUAUCGACGGCGGUGUUUGGCACCUCGAUGUCGGCUCAUCACAUCCUGGGGCUGAAGUAGGUCCCAAGGGUAUGGCUGUUCGCCAUUUAAAGUGGUACGCGAGCUGGGUUUAGAACGUCGUGAGACAGUUCGGUCCCUAUCUGCCGUGGGCGCUGGAGAACUGAGGGGGGCUGCUCCUAGUACGAGAGGACCGGAGUGGACGCAUCACUGGUGUUCGGGUUGUCAUGCCAAU